rnacentral:rRNA from 1 species
AGAGUUUGAUCAUGGCUCAGAUUGAACGCUGGCGGCAGGCCUAACACAUGCAAGUCGAACGGUAACAGGAAGCAGCUUGCUGCUUUGCUGACGAGUGGCGGACGGGUGAGUAAUGUCUGGGAAACUGCCUGAUGGAGGGGGAUAACUACUGGAAACGGUGGCUAAUACCGCAUAACGUCGCAAGACCAAAGAGGGGGACCUUCGGGCCUCUUGCCAUCAGAUGUGCCCAGAUGGGAUUAGCUAGUUGGUGAGGUAACGGCUCACCAAGGCGACGAUCCCUAGCUGGUCUGAGAGGAUGACCAGCCACACUGGAACUGAGACACGGUCCAGACUCCUACGGGAGGCAGCAGUGGGGAAUAUUGCACAAUGGGCGCAAGCCUGAUGCAGCCAUGCCGCGUGUAUGAAGAAGGCCUUCGGGUUGUAAAGUACUUUCAGCGGGGAGGAAGGUGUUGUGGUUAAUAACCGCAGCAAUUGACGUUACCCGCAGAAGAAGCACCGGCUAACUCCGUGCCAGCAGCCGCGGUAAUACGGAGGGUGCAAGCGUUAAUCGGAAUUACUGGGCGUAAAGCGCACGCAGGCGGUCUGUCAAGUCGGAUGUGAAAUCCCCGGGCUCAACCUGGGAACUGCAUUCGAAACUGGCAGGCUUGAGUCUUGUAGAGGGGGGGUAGAAUUCCAGGUGUAGCGGUGAAAUGCGUAGAGAUCUGGAGGAAUACCGGUGGCGAAGGCGGCCCCCUGGACAAAGACUGACGCUCAGGUGCGAAAGCGUGGGGAGCAAACAGGAUUAGAUACCCUGGUAGUCCACGCCGUAAACGAUGUCUACUUGGAGGUUGUGCCCUUGAGGCGUGGCUUCCGGAGCUAACGCGUUAAGUAGACCGCCUGGGGAGUACGGCCGCAAGGUUAAAACUCAAAUGAAUUGACGGGGGCCCGCACAAGCGGUGGAGCAUGUGGUUUAAUUCGAUGCAACGCGAAGAACCUUACCUGGUCUUGACAUCCACAGAACUUUCCAGAGAUGGAUUGGUGCCUUCGGGAACUGUGAGACAGGUGCUGCAUGGCUGUCGUCAGCUCGUGUUGUGAAAUGUUGGGUUAAGUCCCGCAACGAGCGCAACCCUUAUCCUUUGUUGCCAGCGGUCCGGCCGGGAACUCAAAGGAGACUGCCAGUGAUAAACUGGAGGAAGGUGGGGAUGACGUCAAGUCAUCAUGGCCCUUACGACCAGGGCUACACACGUGCUACAAUGGCGCAUACAAAGAGAAGCGACCUCGCGAGAGCAAGCGGACCUCAUAAAGUGCGUCGUAGUCCGGAUUGGAGUCUGCAACUCGACUCCAUGAAGUCGGAAUCGCUAGUAAUCGUGGAUCAGAAUGCCACGGUGAAUACGUUCCCGGGCCUUGUACACACCGCCCGUCACACCAUGGGAGUGGGUUGCAAAAGAAGUAGGUAGCUUAACCUUCGGGAGGGCGCUUACCACUUUGUGAUUCAUGACUGGGGUGAAGUCGUAACAAGGUAACCGUAGGGGAACCUGCGGUUGGAUCACCU